GAUGAACGCUGGCGGCGUGCCUAAUACAUGCAAGUCGAGCGAACAGACGAGGAGCUUGCUCCUCUGACGUUAGCGGCGGACGGGUGAGUAACACGUGGAUAACCUACCUAUAAGACUGGGAUAACUUCGGGAAACCGGAGCUAAUACCGGAUAAUAUAUUGAACCGCAUGGUUCAAUAGUGAAAGACGGUUUUGCUGUCACUUAUAGAUGGAUCCGCGCCGCAUUAGCUAGUUGGUAAGGUAACGGCUUACCAAGGCAACGAUGCGUAGCCGACCUGAGAGAGUGAUCGGCCACACUGGAACUGGGACACGGUCCAGACUCCUGCGGGAGGCAGCAGUAGGGAAUCUUCCGCAAUGGGCGAAAGCUUGACGGAGCAACGCCGCGUGAGUGAUGAAGGUCUUCGGAUCGUAAAACUCUGUUAUUAGGGAAGAACAAAUGUGUAAGUAACUAUGCACGUCUUGACGGUACCUAAUCAGAAAGCCACGGCUAACUACGUG
rnacentral:rRNA from 1 species